rnacentral:rRNA from 1 species
AGAACGAACGCUGGCGGCAGGCCUAACACAUGCAAGUCGAACGCCGUAGCAAUACGGAGUGGCAGACGGGUGAGUAACACGUGGGAACGUGCCCAAAGGUACGGAACAACUCCGGGAAACUGGAGCUAAUACCGUAUGUGCCCGAAAGGGGAAAGAUUUAUCGCCUUUGGAUCGGCCCGCGUCUGAUUAGCUAGUUGGUAGGGUAAUGGCCUACCAAGGCUACGAUCAGUAGCUGGUCUGAGAGGAUGAUCAGCCACAUUGGGACUGAGACACGGCCCAAACUCCUACGGGAGGCAGCAGUGGGGAAUAUUGGACAAUGGGCGAAAGCCUGAUCCAGCCAUGCCGCGUGAGUGAUGAAGGCCUUAGGGUUGUAAAGCUCGUUUCGGCGGGGACGAUAAUGACGGUACCGCAGAAGAAGCCCCGGCUAACUUCGUGCCAGCAGCCGC